rnacentral:rRNA from 1 species
UACUAACUUGCGAUAAGCGCAGAUAAGGCAGUAAGAGCCGUUUGAGUCUGCGAUUUCCGAAUGGGGAAACCCAACUGCAUAAGCAGUUACUGUUAACUGAAUACAUAGGUUAACAGAGCAAACCGGGGGAACUGAAACAUCUAAGUACCCCGAGGAGAAGAAAUCAACCGAGAUUCCGGUAGUAGCGGCGAGCGAACCUGGAUUAGCCCUUAAGCACUCGGUGAAGUAGGUGAACAAGCUGGAAAGCUUGGCGAUACAGGGUGAUAGCCCCGUAACCGACGCUUCAUCGAGCGUGAAAUCGAGUAGGGCGGGACACGUGAUAUCCUGUCUGAAUAUGGGGGGACCAUCCUCCAAGGCUAAAUACUCCUGACUGACCGAUAGUGAACCAGUACCGUGAGGGAAAGGCGAAAAGAACCCCUGUGAGGGGAGUGAAAUAGAACCUGAAACCGUGUACGUACAAGCAGUAGGAGCACCUUCGUGGUGUGACUGCGUACCUUUUGUAUAAUGGGUCAGCGACUUAUAUUCAGUGGCAAGGUUAACCGUAUAGGGGAGCCGUAGCGAAAGCGAGUCUUAACUGGGCGCUCAGUCUCUGGAUAUAGACCCGAAACCGGGUGAUCUAGCCAUGGGCAGGUUGAAGGUUGAGUAACAUCAACUGGAGGACCGAACCGACUAAUGUUGAAAAAUUAGCGGAUGACUUGUGGCUAGGGGUGAAAGGCCAAUCAAACUCGGAGAUAGCUGGUUCUCCCCGAAAGCUAUUUAGGUAGCGCCUCGGACGAAUACUACUGGGGGUAGAGCACUGUUAAGGCUAGGGGGUCAUCCCGACUUACCAACCCUUUGCAAACUCCGAAUACCAGUAAGUACUAUCCGGGAGACACACGGCGGGUGCUAACGUCCGUCGUGGAGAGGGAAACAACCCAGACCGCCAGCUAAGGUCCCAAAGUAUUGCUAAGUGGGAAACGAUGUGGGAAGGCUCAGACAGCUAGGAUGUUGGCUUAGAAGCAGCCAUCAUUUAAAGAAAGCGUAAUAGCUCACUAGUCGAGUCGGCCUGCGCGGAAGAUGUAACGGGGCUAAGCAAUACACCGAAGCUGCGGCAAUGUCUUUUAGACAUUGGGUAGGGGAGCGUUCUGUAAGCCGUUGAAGGUGAAUCGUAAGGUUUGCUGGAGGUAUCAGAAGUGCGAAUGCUGACAUGAGUAACGACAAAGGGGGUGAAAAACCUCCUCGCCGGAAGACCAAGGGUUCCUGUCCAACGUUAAUCGGGGCAGGGUGAGUCGACCCCUAAGGUGAGGCCGAAAGGCGUAAUCGAUGGGAAACGGGUUAAUAUUCCCGUACUUCUGACUAUUGCGAUGGGGGGACGGAGAAGGCUAGGUGGGCCAGGCGACGGUUGUCCUGGUUCAAGUGCGUAGGCUUGAGAGUUAGGUAAAUCCGGCUCUCUCUAAGGCUGAGACACGACGUCGAGCUACUA